AAGCUUUGGGAUCUCCUGAGUCGAGAAUCUGAGCGAUUGCAGGGUAUUGAUGAGCAAGUUGAUGGACUAAAGCGUCAGCUGGGAAGGUUACAGUCGUUGUUGAAAGAUGCAGAUGCCAAGAAACAUGGAAGUGAAAGGGUGAGGAACUUCUUGGAAGAUGUCAAAGACCUUGUUUAUGAUGCAGAGGAUAUACUUGAAUCCUAUGUUCUGAACAAAAGUAGAGCUAAAGAAAAAGGAAUCAAGAAGCAUGUGAGAAGACUUGCUUGCUUCUUAACGGAUCGCCGCAAAGUUGCUUCAGAAAUCGAAGGAAUCACUAAGAGGAUCUCUGAGGUGAUUGGGGAUAUGCAGAGUUUAGGGAUACAACAAAUCAUUGAUGGUGGUCGUUCGCUGUCUCUUCAGGACAGACAAAGGGAGCAGAGGGAGAUCCGACAAACGUUCGCUAAAAGUCCUGACCACGAUCUUGUUGGGGUGGAGCAGAGUGUUGAAGAAUUGGUUGGUCAUUUGGUGGAGAAUGAUAAAAUUCAAGUGGUUUCUAUAUCUGGGAUGGGCGGUAUUGGUAAAAGCACUCUGGCCAGACAAGUUUUUCAUCAUGACAUAGUCCGACGUCAUUUUGAUGGAUUCGCAUGGGUCUAUGUUUCGCAACAGUUUACUCAGACAUAUGUUUGGCAGAGGAUCCUGCAAGAACUUCGGCCACACGAUGGUGAGAUAUUGCAGAUGGACGAAUAUGCACUCCAGGGUAAACUCUUUCAAUUGUUGCAAACCGGUAGAUAUUUGGUUGUCCUCGAUGAUGUAUGGAAAAAAGAAGACUGGGAUCGAAUAAAAGCAGUGUUUCCACAGCAAAGAGGUGAGCUCUUAUGGUACAUAUAUGAAGCACUUAGUCUUUUUAGUUCAUAUAAGUGAUUGUUAAAAGAAAUAUAUAGAAUAAAUGCCUUUUUAUUCCUUAACAUGAGAACACAAAUAUUUUCUAGGUUGGAAGAUGUUGCUUACUUCUCGGAAUGAAGGUGUUGGGAUACAUGUGGAUCCAACAUGUUUUACUUUUAAAGCAAGAAUCCUGAAUCCUAAUGAAAGUUGGAAGCUCUGUGAGAGAAUAGUAAACCAACUCAUCUUUCAUUGGGCCAGAUUUCAAUAAGCUAAAGGCUCAUACUUGGAAAGUACAGUGUCCACCUAGGAUACGUCAUUUUUUAUGGCAAAUCUUAACGGGUUGUGUACCGGUUACAGAGAACUUACGAAAAAGAGGAAUUGAUUGUGACACUGGUUGUGCCAGAUGUGGUGCACUGGAGGAAACAGUCAAUCACACACUCUUUCAGUGCCAUCCUGCAAGACAGGUUUGGGCACUUUCUCAGAUUCCUACGGUUAUGGGGACUUUUCCCACAGAUUCUAGUUUUGCAAACUUGGAUCAUUUAUUUUGGAGAAUACCAUCGGAGUUUGAUUCUAUAGCUUUUCCUUGGAUUAUUUGGUAUAUUUGGAAAGCACGGAAUGAAAAAUUGUUUGAAAAUGUGGAUAACGAUCCGUUAGAGGUUUUACGGUUAGCGGAAAGAGAGGCACAAUUGUGGCACUCAGCUCAAGUGGAGCUUCAUACUGAAACUCAGGCUUCAGUGGAAUUUCCAAAUCGGCCUCAAACGAGGGGGGUGUCCCUAGAUUCGGAUUUUACAGGAUACCGUUGUUUUGUGGAUGGAUCCUGGAAAGACAGCGACAAGUUUUCCGGGAUAGGGUGGUUUUGUACACCAUCAAACGGUGAGCCAUCAACAAUGGGAGCUGCCAACCUCCGUAGAAGCCUAUCUCCGCUACAUGCCGAAUUCGAGGCCCUCCUUUGGGCGAUGAAGUGUAUGAUUGGUGCAGAUAAUCAAGAGGUAGCAUUCCUUACAGACUGUUCUGACCUGGUGAAGAUGGUGUCUUCCCCAACCGAAUGGCCGGCUUUCUCAGUGUAUCUGGAGGAAUUUCAGAGCGACAAGGAAGAGUUCUCUACCUUCUCUUUAUCUUUAAUUUCUCGUUGUGCAAAUGCAAAAGCGGAUAAUCUGGCACGAAAAAUUCGUACGGAACCGCUUCAUAUCACUUAUGUAAACAACAUUCCACAAGAAUGGCUCUUUUGAGUACUAUUUAAUUACAGAUGACAAAAAAAAAAAAAAAAAAAAAGAAUAGUAUUCUCUAGGAGAGAUGAAACUGGUACAUAUCUUAUUAUAUAAAUUAUAUAAUGUUUAAUUUCACUAACUUUAUUUUCCUUAACUAAAUAAGAUAAACAAAUUUUAAGAAAAACAUAUUUACACAUACUAAUUUACAUGUGUAUAUUUAAAUUAUUCCUUACACUUUUAUUUUCCUUAACCAAAAAGUAAAAUGAACUAUAUAUAUACAUAUUGUUAAUUUUUCAAACAAAUUUCAACUUUUUUUUUCCUUAACGAAUUAGAAAACUAAAAACGUAUUUACGUAAUUUGACAUGUAUCAAAAAAGUGUUAGUGGUCAUCUAGAUUUUCACAUGUGUCAAAAUUAAUUUAUUUAGCAUGAAUAUUAACCAACUAGAUAACAAUAUAGUGCGGGACAAAACGAUUAUUAACCAAUUUUAAUGUAUUGAUGAUAUUGAAGAUGUUCGAUUUUUAUAUUAUUUAAUAAACGGUGGUGUAUUAAUAAUUAUCAAGAUUAGUGAAAUUAUCAUUUAUGUAUUAAUGUUUAUGUUUAUCAUAACUUAUGAUAUAUAUCUUGGUAUAUUAAUCAAUAUACAAAAUAUUAAGUACUCUUUCUUUUUUUAUCAACAGUUUUUAAUUAAAAAUUCAUAAGAGCCAUUUCUGAGGAAUGUUGUUUACAUAUGUGAUGUGAUACGGUUCGGUGCGAACUUUUCACGCCAAAUUAUCCGCUUUUGCAUUUGCACUUCGAGGGAUUAAAGAUAAAGAGAAACUUGAAAAUUCUUUCUUGUCUCUCUUAAGAUCUUCUAAAUACACUGAGAAGGCCUGCCAUUCGUUUGGGGAAGACACCAUCUUCACCAAGUCUGAACAAUCUGUAUAAAAAGCUACUUCUUGGUUGUCGGCUCCAAUCAUACACUUCAUCGCCCAGAGAAGAGCUUACACUUCUGUAUGUAGUGGAGAAAAACAUUGUCGAAUGUUGGCAGCUCCCAUAGUUGGCGUCUCUCCAUUUGAUGAUGUACAGAACCACCAUGUUCCUGAAAAUUUUGUCAGUUUCUUUCCAUGAUCCAUCCACGAAACAACGAUAUCCGGAGUAGAGAGUAUCAAGAGAAAUUUCUCUCACUCUCACUCGAGAUUCGCAGUUUAAAGAACCAUGAUUUUCAUUAAGAAGCUCUAUUGAGCUAACUGCCACGAAUGGGCCUCUUUUUCCGCUAAACGUAAAACCUCUAAUGGGUCUUUAUCCAUAUUUUCAAAGAUCUUUUCAUUUUUACCUUUCCAAAUAUACCAAAUUAUUCAUGGAUAUGGAGAAGAGUCAACCUCUGAAGGAAUUCUCCAAAAAAGGUGUUUUAAAUUCGCGUAAAUUGAGGCCGUAGGGAAAAUUCCCGGAACCAUAGGAAUCUGAGAAAGUGCCCAAAUUUGUCUCGCUGGGUCUCAUUCAAAAAAUGUAUGGUUAUUUGAUUCUUCUAUCGCACCGCAUCUGCCACAUCAUAUGUCACAAUUUAUUCCUCUUCUCCUCAGAUUUUCUGUAACCGGUACACAACCCGAUAAAAUUUGCCACAGAAAAUGACGUAACUUAGGCGAACACUGCACCUUCCAAGUAUAUGCUUUUAGAGAUUUAAAAUCCAGGCUAAAAAAGGAUAAAAUUCCUUCCAAAUUCUCUAGCCGCGCCGUAUGAUAACCAGACUUAACUGUUUAUUUUCUGGAUUUAGUGAAAUGCCAACCGAGGGUAUCCUCCAUAGGUGGCGCACCCAAAGGCAGGGCACUAAUCAGCGCGACAUCUUCCGGAUCAAAGAGCUCUUGCAAGAGAUCAAUGUUCCAAAAAUUUUACCGACUGUCGAUAAGAUUUUUAACUUUCAAAGAUGGGUCAAUAAUUGAACCAUUACUUUUUACUGAUCUCGGGAAUUGAGUUGGAAUCCACGGGUCCUCCCAAACUGAGAUGGACGCCCCAAAACCGACUCUUUUAAUAAGUCAUUUAAUAACCAGAGAUCUAGCUGACAUGGUACUUCUCCAACCAUAGGAAGGAGAGUAUGAUUUUAUUGUAUCCAGAGGAUUGGAUUUCCGAAAAUACCUUCCUUUGAAAACCUUUGUAAACAGUGAAUCGGGAUCCGUAAUCAAACGCCAUAAUUGUUUUGCUAAUAAAGCCGAAUUAAAAUCAUCUACACUCCGAAAUCCCAAUCCACCCUCGGAUUUACUACUACAGAGCUUAUUCCAAGCCAUCCAGUGCAUUCCCCUCGAUUCACCAUUUGAACUCCACCAGAAUUUAGCGAACACACUUGUAAGUUUAGAAGUGAUGGUUUUUGGUAAUCUGAAGCAAGACAUAACAUAAGUUGAUAAUGCCGCAGCUACCGAUUUGAUCAUCACUUCUUUUCCGCCUUUCGAUAAGAUUUUUGUCGACCAUCCAUUUAUUCUAGUUUGUAAUCUCUCUCUAACAAAGGAGAAUAUCUUUGUCUUCGAGCGACCUAGACUUUUCGGUAAACUAAGGUAAGUGCCCAUACCACCAAGGUUAUUAAUAUUCAAAACCGCUUUUAUCUCCGCUUUUAUAGAAUCAUCCACCUUAUGGCCAAAUUGAAUUGAUGAUUUUGAAAAAUUAAUUUGUUGCCCCGAAACUGCUUCAUAUUGCUUUAGAAUCCUCAAAAUUACCCCGCAUUGAUCUAUAUUGGCUUUGCAAAAGAAUAAACUAUCAUCAGCAAAUAAAAGAUGAGAUACCGAAGGACUAGCUGUUGAUACUUUUAUACCGGUAAUCAACUUUUCGUGUUCCGCUUUCCGAAUAUUCGCAAUAAGUACCUCUGUACAAAGGAUAAAUAAGUAGGGAGAUAAAGGAUCUCCUUGUCUUAAUCCUCUUUCUGGAAUUAUUAGACCUCUAGGUUGACCAUUAAGUAGAACCCUAUAUUGGACUGUUGUGAUACACCACAUCAUCCACAGAAUCCAUUUUUCGCAGAAACCCAACUUUCUUAAUAAUUCUUCAAUAAACUUCCAUUCGACCCUGUCAUAUGCCUUACUCAUAUCGUUUUAAUAGCCAUAUACUUCUCUUUAUAUGACGGAUUAAUUCUUAACCCAUGGAACAUCUCUUGCGAUAUAAGAAUAUUGUCUGAGAUCAGUCGCCCUUCUACAAAAGUAGAUUGGGUUUCCAAAAUAAGAUUUGGUAGAACCUUCUUCAAUCGUUGACAUAGUAUCUUUGAAAUUACUUUAUAUCCAACAUUACAAAGACUCUUAGGUCGUAAUUCCGUCAUCCGAGUCGGUCGCUCUGUUUUUGGAAUAAGACAAAUAUUAGUCGUGUUUAACCGCUUAUCCAAAACUCCAUCUUGUAAAAAUGAAUUAACCAUGAUAAAAAAAUCCGUUUUAAUGGUAACCCAAGCUUUCUGGAAAAACAAGGCUGUCAUGCCAUCUGGCCCUAGUGCCUUCUCCGGGUGUAUCAUAAAUAAGGCCGCUCGCACCUCACAUUCAGUCGCAUGUGCCGUUAAGAAGUCAUUUAUCUGAUCCGUUAUCAUCAACCUCUGCUAAUGACUCCUCAAAAGCAUGAGGAUUAGUUGUUGUGAACAAAUUCUCAAAAUAAGAGACCGUAAUAUUCUGGAUAUCUUUAUCCUCUGCAAACCAUGUCCCAUUUUCAUCAUGUAGCCCGUUGAUUCGAUUCCUUGCACGUCUCUGUUUUGUGAGAGUAUGAAAGAAUUUUGAAUUAUUGUCCCCUAAAUUCAUCCAUAGAGUCCUACUCUUUUGAUACCAAUACUGUUCUUCAUUUCGGUAAGCUUUUUUUAACCGCAUUGUUAACUCCGUAAUCUCCUCUCGUGUCCUCGUAUCAUCUCUCUGUGCUACCUCUAAUUCAUAUUUCAGAUCUUCUAUUGUUUUCCUUCCAUAAGGAGAUAACUCUUUCCGCCAUUGUGAAAUAGCUCCCUACAAUUAGUCAAUUUUUCAACAAAUUGUCCAUCUCGUAAAUCGGGGUCUAAAUUCCAACCAUUUGAUGUUGCCCCUAGUAGCCUUUCUUUUCCAAUCCAUCUCUUAUCAAACCUAAAACUUCGUUUUCCGUGAGGUAUCUUAUCCGCAAUCGUAGCUAUUACUGGUGAAUGAUCCGAAGCUACCAUUGGUAGAUACUCAAUGAAAGAAUUACACAAUAAAUCAUGCCAAUCUUCAUUAGCUAGGGCCCUAUCCAAUCGACACCAUAUCGGUUUUUUUAUCCCGCCAACACCUCCAAGAUAACCAAUUUCCGAGAUAUGGAAAUUCCACGAGGCCACAAUCAUUGGAUCAUUAAGUAAUCCAUUUUGUAUAGAUUUGUAUAUCUUAAUUGCAUAUUUUAAUUGUAUUUUUGUUUUAAUUAAUUGGAUCAGUAAAUAUCUUAAUAAAUGUUGGAUUUUUAAUUAAGUGGAUUGAGAAGCUCAGUAAGAACGACACAUUAGCAUGACAUUUUUGUUAAUCACACAUAAAAAUAAGGUUAUUUUUGAAAAAUGCUUCUCCAUUAAUAUAUAAGGGAUAAACAAUGAGUGUCGAGGUUUAAAAUAACAAUAUAAUUAUUAAACAUUAAUUAAAUUGGAUAAUAAUUAAAAAAAUUAACUACUAAUCCUAAAAAUAGUAAUUACUAAUCUUAAAUUUUAUUUUUUUUUUCGAUUUUUAUAGGUUUCUUAGAAUUAGAAAUAUCGAAUAUCUACUCUUUAUGCUUAAUUCAUGGUUGGUUCGAUUAAAAUUUAACAUUAUAAAAUCAACUAAAUUUGAAGAAAAAAAACAUGUAAUGAUUAACCCGUGACUACACGGGUCCUAAUUAAUGUAGUUCAAAUAUAAAAUUAAGACCAUGAAUCUAAUAAAUUUUAUUUAGCAGCUCACAUCUUGAAAUGUAUUAGCUUGUGAUAUUGUGCAGAAAUAAGGUUUGGUGAAGAAAUGGAAGCCAUGGGAAAGGAAAUGGUCAAACAUUGUGGAGGACUACCAUUAGCUGUUAAAGUGUUGGGAGGCUUGUUAGUUAAUAAACAUACAGUUCAUGAGUGGAAAAGAGUUUCUGACAAUAUCGGAGAUCAAAUCGUAGGAAAAUCUUGCUUAAAUGACAACAGUCUCAAUUCGGUUAACCGAAUAUUGUCUCUGAGUUAUGAAGAUUUGCCAACGCAUUUAAAGCAUUGCUUCCUUUAUCUAGCCCAUUACCGGGAAGAUUCCAAGAUAUAUAUGUGGAAUUUGUUCAAUUACUGGGCUGCAGAAGGAAUUUGUUAUGGAUCAACCAUCAGAGAUAGUGGAGAAGACUACCUAGAAGAGCUAGUGAGGAGAAAUUUGGUUACUGCUGAAAAAGACAAAUUGAGAUGGAGAUUAGAAUAUUGACAUGAUGAGAGAAGUAUGUUUAUCUAAAGCCAAAGAAGAGAACUUCCUACAAAUUAUCAAAGUCCCUACUUCCACCUCUACCAUCAAUGCUCAAUCUCCUAGUAGAUCUCGCAGACUCACCAUACGUAGUGGUAAAGCCUUUCAUAUACUGGGACACAAAAACAAUAAAAAAGUCAGAUCUCUUAUAGUUUUGGGACUCGAGGAAGACUUUUGGAUACAGUCAGCUUCAGUCUUCCAAAAUUUACCAUUGCUCAGGGUGUUGGAUCUUACUGAGGUGAAGUUUAAAGGAGGGAAGUUACCUUCUAGUAUUGGAGGGCUUAUCCACUUGAGAUUCUUGAGCUUAGACGAUGCUGGGGUAUCUCAGCUACCUUCUUCUAUGCGGAAUUUAAAGCUUCUCCUCUAUUUAGACUUAAGUGUUGCUGCCGAGGAACCAGUUCAUGUGCCAAAUGUUUUGAAAGAGAUGCUAGAGUUGAGGAACCUUGUCCUACCUCAUAAGAUGCAUGAUAAAACCAAGUUGGAAUUGGGUGAUCUAGUGAACCUGGUGCACUUGUGGUAUUUCUCAACGCAACACAGUAGUGUGACAGACCUCCUCCGUAUGACCAAGCUCAGGUAUCUCUCUGUAUCUUUGAGCGAAAGGUGUACUUUUGAAACCCUAUCGUCAUCUCUCCGUAAAUUGCGUAACCUCGAGACGCUUUAUUUGGAUUUUCGGUACAAAACCUAUACGGUUGAUUAUGUGGGAGAGUUGGAUCUGGAUUUUAUUCAUCUAAAAGAGUUAGGAUUGAGAGGACGUAUGUCAAAGAUUCCUGAUCAACAUCAAUUCCCUCCCCACCUUGAACACAUAUCUCUAUUUGAUUGCCGCAUGGAGGAGGAUCCAAUGCCAAUUCUAGAAAAGUUGCUUCAUUUGAAGUCGGUUAAAUUAGGAUCUGACGCUUUCGUUGGGAGGAAAAUGUUGUGCUCAAAAGGUGGAUUUCCUCAAUUACGUGCUCUAGAAAUAAAUGAAGAAUCAGAGUUGGAAGAGUGGAUAGUGGAAGAAGGGUCGAUGCCAUGUCUUUGUACUUUAAAUAUAGAUGAUUGCAAAAAGUUGAAGGAACUUCCUGAUGGACUCAAGUACAUAACAUCCUUAAAGGAACUGAAGAUUAAAAGAAUGAAGAGGGAGUGGAAGGAGAAAUUGGUACCAGGUACACAUUCCCGAUGUUCAAUUUAUCAACUGUGACGAUGAAUAAGGAGAAUAACCAGUAGCAGGUAAAAAUAAAAAUGGUAUAAUGUUCACUUUGUUCAUUUGUUGGUUUUGCAUCCUAUUUGGAUUCGUGUGAAAGUCAUGUGGAUAGUCUCCACUAUCAUCUCUGAAAUAGAUGCAGGAAAGAAAAAGAAGCUAGCUUUGAAAGAUUCAUCUGCUGAUUAACAGGUUUUCGCGAAGAAUCUUUGGAAUUGCUUAUGAAGAAUACAGAUUCUGAAGUACUACGGAUUACGUUGCCAGUCUUGGAGCAUCGUUAUUUUGUGGCUCAGAACUAUAUUAUAGAAAAUAAUGCUUUUAUUGAUGUUUGUUUUCGAUGUGGAUGUAUGGAACAUGCUUGAGAACUCUUUCACAAAAUGGAGAAACGAACCUUGGUUUUACUGUAAAAAAGUAAAAACUGGAUAUUUUAUGUUAAUAAGAAUUGUUGUUUUGUUUUAUCGUUUGUGAUUUAACACAGUUAGCUUUUGUAAGCUCUAUUUACACCAUGAAAUGUUGUCUGAUUUUAUUGAACAUUUAGACUUAAGUUUUGUUGUUUUGCACCUCUUUGUACUGUGUAUAAGCAUAGGCAAGACAUGGUUGAAGACGAGCAAAACUGAUGUACAAUAAACAGGAAUAAUCUCAUUUCCAAAACUUCUGGCAAAGCAUUAUAUUUUCUCAGGGGAACAAAAACACAGACAAGCUUGGUCGAAACUUUAAGAUUCCUUGGUCGAAACUUUACGGGUUUGUAGCAAGUUUGUUGAAGGCGGCGUGAACUCUCUCCUCCGUGAACAGUCUAUGGUUUUCAUAGAAAUCCAAUAUCUCCAUUGCAAUAUUCUUCACCUGCCAAUAUGUUCACAAUAUACUGAUGAAUCAUUGCAUAAGACUUACAAUAUGUUCGGAGAGAAUUAAAAGGACGACAACAAUGCAUAAGACUUAUACAAUGUUCAUGUCGAGAAAAAGCUCUUCAAACCAAGUCCUUAUGUCUUUCUCUUUGUGUACAGAAGCAAUGUAAAUGCAAGCGAGUGUGAUGAGAAACGGCGGAUGUAUAAGGAUGAGGUCCAUUCUGUAUGUGUCGUUAACAAGACCCCUAUAGUUUCCACACAAAACUUACGCAUCAAGAGAACAUUUACUUUACGCUUGCAAAUCAAAACCUGUUUAGCUCUCUUCCAAUUUGAGAUUUGUCAGGUGCUGGUAAACUGUUAUCCAAUUAACUUCUUGAUUACAAGAACACUUCAUCCCCAAGACUAAUAAAGGACAAAGUUUUGGAAACUUACCAAGUUAAAUGGGUCAUACUUGUGUCAUAAAUUUCAGAAUCCUGAGAGAACCUGUAAGUAAAUCAAGAAGAGUAAGCAAAACAAAAUGCAUAGUAUAGUCGCAAAAAGAUUUUGAUGACGAUACGUAAGAUCCUAAGCAAACGACUUACUCAGGAAGAGAUCGGUAUGGGUGGAAUACAACAAGAUAGAAGUUCAAUGCUUCCAAGAUCUUCAUCUCCAUUUCCAGAAUAUCUUUAAUCUCAUAUCUGAACUUUUCAUCAACAUCUAAUCAGAGUGAAGCAUCCAAUCUCAUCAGAAAGACAGAAACUCAAACAAUGCAGAGAAAUCACAUUGCAUACCUGAUUUUUAGUAUAAAGACAAGGGAACUAUUCAUAUUAAAUUCCAGGUUACAACAGAUAUAGAGCUAAUAAGUUCCACAGAACCAACAAAGAGUAAUGGAAGAAAAGUAAAUGCAAUAUCUGAAUUUAGCAAAAAUUGCAAGGAAAAACAACCUUUGCCUCACUUUAAUGUGCUGAAACACCAGUAAACUCAAACACUUUCUUUGAUCAAUCACUGAUAAUUUCAAACCAGUUGCUAAAGAGUCAAAAAAAUUUGCUCAAUUAAACAGAAAAUAUUCGAAGAAUUGAGAAGAAAAGGCUUUCGUACGAUUAGACAUGUGGAACUUGAUGAGCUUGAAUUCAUCAAUUGAGAUUCCACGUUCUUUAUCAAGAUCAUGAACUACAUCCAAACAAAAUAAUCCAGAAAUUGAAACUGAAAGUUGCGUAGAAGAAGAAGAAGAAGUGAAUUUUGAUGGGUAAAGGUGAAAAGAAUGUUUUUACUAGUGAGACGAAUUCCAGAAAUCGGCAGCCAUGUAUGUUUUCCGGUAGACAGUCGAGAUUUUGAGAAGAUAGAGAAGGAAGAGAAGCUUUUUGCUCAACAGUUUUUUACAUUUAAGGUGUUCGGCCCAUUUUCGGCCCAAUAGUCAUAGCCUUUUAUAUUCAUCAGAACAUGUCAUUUGUUAGUCGUUAAUAUUUUUUUGAGAAAAAAAACUAUAAAAGUCGAACAACUUUGAUGAUUUUUGAAGGUUUCUCACCUAAAAAAUAUUUCUUGUAACUCUGAAUACAAGUUUCAUGGAGUGUGGCGCAUCAUAAAUAUUUUUUUCGGAAUAAAACUUGAAGUCCGUACAUAGAAUGUCAAAAUUUAAGCAAGAAAAUAAACUUCAAAAGCUCCAAAUGUUAAGUACGUAAAUAUAUUAUAAAGUGGUUGCACAUGUCAAUUCUUCGGAUUAUAAACAAUUUCAAAAAGACUGAUACUCUUAUCUUCAUUUCCCAAAAGAGAUGACUCAACGAAAAAGAUAACCCAACAAAACUAUAAACCAAUAUUAAUUUCGCCUACCACAAAUAUAAUGACUUUUAUCUCUACUAAGACCAUAUACAUAGCUGAUAUAUUUAGAGUAUCAAGAGUAUAUAAAUAAUUUUUUAAUAGAUUAGACAAUACAUUUGGGUAUGAUACUGACCUUAUUAGUAUCAGUACAGUGAUACUUCUGAUACCCAGUAUCGAGUGACGUGGCGGCUCCUGAUUCGUGCUGGUAAACGCGUUUUUCCCUAAAAAAAAAAAAACAUUCUCGUCUUCUCGAUUUUUCCCGAUUAUUUUUAUCAUCAUGAUUUUUUAUAUAUUUUUUUGAAUUUUAUGUUUUUUUUGCUUAAGUAUAUUCUACGUUUUUUUAUUGUAAUAUUACCUUUUGUAAUCUUAUGUUUUAUAUUUAUUUUUGAUUUUGCAAAUAAUUUUUUUUUUUAUAAUACUUAAACCGGUUUCACCAAUAGAAAUAUAUUUAGUACGAGUAUCAUAAAAAAUCUCAAAUAAUAAACAAACAUUAUAAAUAAUACUAAAAAUUUAUUAAUGAUACUUUAUAAGUAUCACCUAUGUGAACUCAUGACAAAAAAAAAAAAGUCCAAUACUUUUUCCUCGUUUUAGAAUGAUUUACCAACUUCAAUUUUUUUCCACUCUUUAGUAGAAUGAUCGAAUUUCUCACACAGAAGCAAUUCGGCGAGGGUAGAUUGGUUUUUACACUAAACUAGAUCCGGACCCGCACGUACGUGCGGGGUUUUUGGUAACAUAUGUUUUUGAGUAUAAAACUUAUGUCAAUUAGGUUUUGAAUGUGUGUAUCAAUUUGAAUUUUGUAUGACUAUUUAAAAUAGAUUUAUGUAACAAAUUACAGGAUUGAAUAUAUUAGUAUUGGGAACAAAUCAAAUCGCUCGAGAAAUAUGUAUUUCGGUAUAUUUUUGUAUUAAAAUAUAGAUGGGUAAUACAACACAUUACUGUGUUUAUUUUAUUGUUUUUGUAACAUAAUUAGUGUGUUUAGUACUUGGUCUAGUAAGGUAAAUUUAUUAAAUCUAUACUAUAAUUGACAAAUGUUUAAAAUGAAUUCAUUAUUUGUCACUAACAUGGUCAAUAUUGAGUUUUAUUCCUUGGGCCACAGAACCAAUAAUAUUUGUAAUGGGCCGUAAUCAAUCCAAAACUUUGUCGUAAACAGUAUCUCAAUUAUGUUUUUUAUUAUCUGGACAGAUAAUGUUUUUGUUCUUGAGUCUUUGUCUGAAACGGAAAAAAAAUUCCAAUCAACGAAAAUCAUCUUUGUCGGUCAAUUUACGAAUCUGAAUCGAAAUCCAUACUAAAUCGACUUCCUUCGUCUUCGAUUAUACAUCGUGAUUCGCAAAUUAUUAGAUCUAAAAAGAGGUAAGCUUUUCUUUUUUUUGAUUUUUGUUUCUACGUUUUUAGAAUCGGUCGAUUGAGUUUCUACCAUUGAUUUUUUUGUGUUUCAUAAUAGAUAUUAUUCAAAGAUUGUUAAUAACCCAUAGAAAUUUGAUUAAAUAUUACCCUUUUCAUAUUUAAUUGCUUGCAACUGAAUCAUAUUUUGUUUCGUUUAGUUUAAACAUGUUAGUUAGUGAAUCAAUCUAUUUCAUCAAAUUUCUAGUGUUAAGAGACUAAAUCUAAUCAAUUUCAGUAUAUCUUGAAACCUGUGAAUCUAUAUACCUAUUUUUGUUUUUAUAAUUGUUUCAGAUGAUUACAAAUAUUUUGAUGGAUUCUCAAAAGAAGAAGAACCACGAAGAUAAGUUUUUUUUUAUUAAGAUUAUUAUAUAACGUGAGCACUUUAUUUCAAUAAGCUCCUGCUUCAUUAUUCUUUAGAUCAAUCUUAUAUUCAUGAUACAAAGCUCAAUAUGUCUGCAGGCCAAGUAUCAUUUUGCACCUCUAAUUCUUAUGGAGCAGAACAGUAACAGUUCAAUUUGAAGCAUUCUUGAAAGCUAAUUUGGUACAAUCCUUUUAAAAAUGGCAAUGUUUCUUAGUCUUUACAAUGAUUUAUAUGUUUGUACUAAUGUAAAAUCGAUAACUGUUAAAAAUCUGCAGACCAAGAAUCUUUUGCGACUUGGAAUCUGAAGGAGAAAAGAGAUUUGGUGUUGUAUUUGGAGGUUUUCAGAGAUCUAAAUUUAAAAGGUUAGUAAGAUAUUAAACAUAACAUUUUUGAUUAGGUGAUAACAAUAUAGACCUACUCUAUUGAUUUUCAAAUUAGAUUAAAUACUUAUAAAUUAAAUAUAUCAAAUUUGUACAUAGUAAUUUGGUUGCUUGUUAUGUUGUUGGUGGUUUAUUCUGUAUUUGUUUGUUAAUAGAAGUAGUAAGUUCAAACUCAAAUCUUUUGGUAGCUUUGUUGAUGACAUCGUGAGUUUGUCAUCUCACCUAAACUCACGACCUGACCAAUAGCAUCUGUAAAAAUAUGAAAUGGUGUUAGUUUGCUAUUUUUUUUGCUUUAAACAUUAUAUACAUAAAUAGGAGGAAUGGAAAAUACCAAUCAAAAUGUUUUCAUUCAAUUAACAUUCAGAAUGUCUGGAAAGUUAGCAAAAUCAAAGUAAAACUCCUCAGAAAUUGAAGGAAUACGACUUAUAACAGUCGUAUUCAUGAGGGACAUCUUGAAUGGAAGUCUGGUUGCCCGGUACUUUCCAAUAGAUUUUGCAACUGUAAAAUUUUCCACAGUUCUCCACUCUCCAGUUGUGAUGAGCCUUUGAAACUUGUUGACUUGUUGUUUCUUGACAGUCGCAUGAAUCAAGGUACCUUGUAUUUAGCAAAGAAAGAGUAUGAACACAUAAUAAUUACAGAAGAAAAUAUCUACUAUUAGUAAAAAGAUUCUUACACAUGUAUCAGCAAGAAUCAUCUCGACAGUUUCUCCGGAGUAUUGGAUGUAUUGAGUCCACGAAUGGACGAUUUUCACUUGAAUCUUCCAUUGAGUUUUGAAAGAUUUAAUUGCGUUAAGUUCGGUGAUGAGAUGAGCCAUUGUUUUAGAGGUAUAGAGGUGGUUUGGUAGCUUAUUGAGUAUUGAGAAUAUCGUUGAAGAUCUAUAUAUAUAAGAGAUAGAACGUCUAGGGUUAGUCCUAUUAGAUAGGAAUAAUAUCUUUGCAAAUCAAUCAUUUGAAUAGAUAUUUUAGGUAUAUUCUUGAUUGAAGAUGUUUUGAAUAUAUUUUUUUUGAUUUAGUUUAGAUUUUUUGGUAACUAUAGAUGACUUAAAUUUGUUAUGACAUUGAUUUGAAUUCGAAAUUAAAGAGAUAUGAUUGUUUAGGUAUUAUCUUGACUUAUUUGUUAUUGUAAUUAUGUUUAGAUUAUCAAAUGGCAACUGUGAGGAUCAAUACAAAUCGUGACGCUCAAUCCAAAUCAACCGUGAGGAUCAGUUUGAGGAAAAUCAACCGUGAGGAUCACUUUUAGGAAUGGCCGGGUCAAGUGUUACGAUCCGCAUGUUUAUCCGAAAGCUAGCCCAUCAGGCUCUAAAAAUAACCGAUCCAAUAGCCCAUGAUCCAUGGAUCUUUCUCUACCAAAUUAUUAUUUUAGCCUUCCACGUGUUUUAAAUUUUAGUCUUAGAUUGAAAAAAUUCUAAUGGCAUUCAUUGUAAUUUUUUAUACUUUAUAAGGUUAUUUAAAUUAGAAUGAUUCCCAAUUAAUAGUAUAGAUUGGUAGAGAACAAUUUUGGUAUUAGUUACUCUAAUGAUCAAUGCAGUGAAGGUGUUCAAUGAAAUGCUUAAGAGAGACUUUAGGGAAAUUUACUUUCACCUGAAGUGUGUUAGAUAUAAGGGUUUAGUGCUUUUUCAUCAUGAUCCCCAAAGAACAGAAAUCACAAAGAAUCUAAAGCUGUUGAAUCAAGGAUACACUGUGACGUCUUUUGAUAAGCAUGUUGCCCUUUCCUCUCUCAAAGGCUCUCUCUUCCCGCUGAAACGGUAACCUAUAAUCCCUUUGGAUGCUUAAGCAUUAUUAGUAGGCUAAGAAUGAGUAAGGUGUCUGAAUGUUUUUACUCUCCAUUUUCGAAUGAUAAAUUUGUUACGGUGUCUAUUAUAUGCUCGGGGAAUCUUGAUGAGAAUUUGGUUACAUUCAGGUCAAGCUACAUUUUUGUACAAGGUUUUUGGUGCCCCUCUUGAAAAUUUAUUCUUCGAAGUUAACAAGCUAAAUAUAUGACGUGUUGUGUUUACUCUCAAAUGAUAAAUUUGUUACAGUGUAUGUAUAUGCUCGUGGAAUCCUGAUGAAAAAUUGGUUACAUUCACAGUUCAAGUUACAUUUUAUUUACAAACACUAGGUUUCAGGCUAUGUCUUCUGAUUACAAUUCUCUAAUAGUUUCAAUGGUGCAAGGUUUUGUAUGCCCCUCUUGAAAAUUUAGCCUCUGAAGUUAACAAGCUGUAUAUGUGACAUGUUUGCAGAGUUCAAGCAUAUAUCAGUGUGAAUGAGCUGGAGUCAACGGUGGUUGUGAUAAUAGUUCAAGCAUCUAAUUUAAUACUCUGCCCUAUCAAAUAUCUUUGAUUAAUCAAAACGAAUAAUUAGAGGUGGCAAUAGAUUAUAAAUUCAUAAUAUAUAUUAUUGUUGAGAACCCCUCCGUCAAUAGAUUGGUAGCUACAUAGUUGACUUGGAUUAAACUUUUAGCUGAUUUUAGAUCUAUUUUUCCUUUGGCGUUCUUGUAUUGGUUCAUCGUAUGUGAUUGACGACGAGUAGUUGUUAUGGCUGAAGCAUUUGUGUCGUUUGGAGUUGAGAAGCUUUGGGAUCUCCUGAGUCGAGAAUCUGAGCGAUUGCAGGGUAUUGAUGAGCAAGUUGAUGGACUAAAGCGUCAGCUGGGAAGGUUACAGUCGUUGUUGAAAGAUGCAGAUGCCAAGAAACAUGGAAGUGAAAGGGUGAGAAACUUCUUGGAAGAUGUCACAGACCUUGUUUAUGAUGCUGAGGAUAUACUUGAAUCCUAUGUUCUGAACAAAAGUAGAGGAAAAGAAAAAGGGAUCAAGAAGCA
rnacentral:lncRNA from 1 species